UACAGAGGGGGCAAGCGUUGCUCGGAAUCACUGGGCGUAAAGCGCACGUAGGCGGAUUGCUAAGUCAGGGGUGAAAUCCUGGAGCUCAACUCCAGAACUGCCUUUGAUACUGGCGACCUUGAGUCCGGGAGAGGUGAGUGGAACUGCGAGUGUAGAGGUGAAAUUCGUAGAUAUUCGCAAGAACACCAGUGGCGAAGGCGGCUCACUGGCCCGGUACUGACGCUGAGGUGCGAAAGCGUGGGGAGCAAACAGG
rnacentral:rRNA from 1 species